rnacentral:lncRNA from 1 species
UAAGUGCAGUCAAUAAAAUAUCGACUCAUCAAAAUAGACCACACUUAGUCUUUUGCACUCCUGGGCAAAAUCAAGACGUAAAACAGGGAACAGUUCAACGGACAUUAGGGAAUUGACACAGACUCAGCAGACAGACAACAGAGACUGACAAGGAAAGAAACAGAGUUACACAAUCCUCAAGAAAUCUGGACAAAGAAAAGGAGUAGACAAUAUCCCACACAGAGUCAAAGAAAACAGAUACUCAGAGAAAUCAUCCAAGCAAUUCCAAGCAUGGCAAAAUAAUCAAUCAGUUCAAGAGGUGAAUCAAAAGCAUCAGAACCUCACAGAUGCACACUAUCAGUGUUUCUCUCAAGUGUUUAAGGUAAAUCAAUGUCACUCAAUGCACUCAAGAAAGCAAACACAAAUAGACUUGGCAAGCCUCUAAAAUCAAUACUCAAGCACACAUGCAUGUUCAAAUCAAAAGGUCUUUUCGUGGUGUAAUGGGGCCAAGGACAAGGGAGGAUAAAUAUGGAUAAAAAGCUACAAACCAAAAAGAAUAGAGGAGCAAUGGGGAAUAAGUGAAAAUACAAUCAAAUCACACCCAAAAUCUCUAAUUCAAUCCUCUUCUUGACUCCAUUAUGCAUAAAACUUUUUUUUUUCAUUUUUCUGUAUAUAUUUUUUUUCUUUUUUUUUUCCAUCUUGUCUCUUUUCUUUUCUUUCUUUUGAGAACACAAAUUUCAAGAGACAAGAUACACCCUGAUUACAAAACAAAAGCAAGAAGAGGAACCAUCUAGCCAAUUCAUCUGAAUCCCCCGGAAGACCACACUUAUUCCCAAAACAAUUUCAAAGCUCCAAAAUUCCCUAAGGUUAAGGUAAACAUGGUUUUUCACUUAGGGCUAGUGUAUAAGCUUCAAAACAAAGAAAUGGGGAAAACAUAGGCUCAAAGGGGCUAUCAAAGGAUCAAACACAGGGUAGGCUCAUCUGGCUAGAGAGGCUCAACAACAAAACUGCCUUUAUCAUUUCCAAACAUGCAUAUCAAUCAAGAAUCAUCAA